GGGCCGGUAGCUCAAUGGCAGAGCAAGUGACUCUUAAUCACUAGGUUGCGAGUUCGACCCUCGCCCGGCUCACCA
rnacentral:tRNA from 2 species